rnacentral:lncRNA from 1 species
CCGUUCUCGGAGAAGCUCAUCGACGGGAUUAAUCAGAGCGAGGCGAGGAGGAGGGCCUUGAUCUUCUUCUGCCUUGUCUACCUUAACGCCAAUGCCCGGGUGAGCCUGCAGAUCGACCUCAUUUUCCCAUGAAUUUUCUGCUUGAUAUCCUGCGAUUGAAAAAUAAUAUAUAUAAAAAUAAACAAGAUAAUGAUGUGGACAGAUCCAGCCUCUCGGGGAAGAUCCACAGUGAUGUGAGGAACUCCUUUUUCUGUACAAAUAAAAGGAAAAAAGAAAAAUAAAAUCAAGAGAUGGGCGGCAUUCCUUCUGGUUCUGACUCGAUUCGAUCUAUGCUUGUUUCGCCGCGAAGGAUGCGUUCGUGCUUUCCGUGGAUCGGAGAGGAUUCGACGUCCUCGCGAAGGUCCCCUGCGCGGGCGCCGGAGACGGCGUGGGGGCUCACCAGUGGAGGGAGUUCCGGAUCUCCUUCAAGGAGGAGGUCUCCGACGUCGAGGCGUUCUGCAACCUGCUGGUGGAGAUGGAGGCGGCGACUCUCAGAGAAAUCAACAGC